GUGGGGAAUAUUGGGCAAUGGGCGAAAGCCUGACCCAGCAACGCCGCGUGAAGGAAGAAGGUUUUCGGAUUGUAAACUUCUGUCCUCAGGGAAGAAGGAAGUGACGGUACCUGAGGAGGAAGCCCCGGCUAACUACGUGCCAGCAGCCGCGGUAAUACGUAGGGGGCGAGCGUUGUCCGGAAUGACUGGGCGUAAAGGGCGCGUAGACGGCUGUCUAAGUCUGGAGUGAAAGUCCUGUUUUCAAGGCGGGAAUUGCUUUGGAGACUGGAUGGCUGGAGUGCGGAAGAGGUAAGUGGAAUUCCCAGUGUAGCGGUGAAAUGCGUAGAGAUUGGGAGGAACACCAGUGGCGAAGGCGACUUACUGGGCCGUAACUGACGUUGAAGCGCGAAAGCGUGGGGAGCGAACAGGAUUAGAAACCCGUGUAGUCC
rnacentral:rRNA from 1 species